GAUGAACGCUAGCGACAGGCUUAACACAUGCAAGUCGAGGGGCAGCAGGGGAGUAGCAAUACUCCCGCUGGCGACCGGCGCACGGGUGAGUAACACGUAUGCAACCUGCCCUUGUCAGGGGGAUAAGCGGAAGAAAUUCCGUCUAAUACCGCAUAAUGCUGCGGGGAGACAUCUCCCUGCAGCCAAAGAUUUAUCGGACAAGGAUGGGCAUGCGGCGCAUUAGCUUGUUGGCGGGGUAACGGCCCACCAAGGCGACGAUGCGUAGGGGUUCUGAGAGGAAGGUCCCCCACACUGGUACUGAGACACGGACCAGACUCCUACGGGAGGCAGCAGUGAGGAAUAUUGGUCAAUGGCCGGGAGGCUGAACCAGCCAAGUCGCGUGAGGGAAGACGGUCCUAUGGAUUGUAAACCUCUUUUGUCAGGGAGCAAAAACUGCUACGUGUGGCAGGAUGAGAGUACCUGAAGAAAAAGCAUCGGCUAACUCCGUGCCAGCAGCCGCGGUAAUACGGAGGAUGCGAGCGUUAUCCGGAUUUAUUGGGUUUAAAGGGUGCGUAGGCGGACAGUUAAGUCAGCGGUAAAAUUGAGAGGCUCAACCUCUUCCCGCCGUUGAAACUGAUUGUCUUGAGUGGGCGAGAAGUAUGCGGAAUGCGUGGUGUAGCGGUGAAAUGCAUAGAUAUCACGCAGAACUCCGAUUGCGAAGGCAGCAUACCGGCGCCCAACUGACGCUGAAGCACGAAAGCGUGGGUAUCGAACAGGAUUAGAUACCCUGGUAGUCCACGCAGUAAACGAUGAAUACUAAUUGUUCGGGUCAAAUGAGAUCUGAGUGAUACAGCGAAAGCGUUAAGUAUUCCACCUGGGGAGUACGCCGGCAACGGUGAAACUCAAAGGAAUUGACGGGGGCCCGCACAAGCGGAGGAACAUGUGGUUUAAUUCGAUGAUACGCGAGGAACCUUACCCGGGCUCAAACGACACAGGAAUGAUCUGAGAAAUCAGGCAGUCCUCCGGGACCUGUGUCGAGGUGCUGCAUGGUUGUCGUCAGCUCGUGCCGUGAGGUGUCGGCUUAAGUGCCAUAACGAGCGCAACCCCCAUCGACAGUUGCCAGCAGGUCAAGCUGGGCACUCUGUCGAGACUGCCGGCGCAAGCUGUGAGGAAGGCGGGGAUGACGUCAAAUCAGCACGGCCCUUACGUCCGGGGCGACACACGUGUUACAAUGGCAGGUACAGCGGGAAGCCACCUGGCGACAGGGAGCGGAACCCGAAAGCCUGUCUCAGUUCGGAUUGGAGUCUGCAACUCGACUCCAUGAAGCUGGAUUCGCUAGUAAUCGCGCAUCAGCCACGGCGCGGUGAAUACGUUCCCGGGCCU
rnacentral:rRNA from 1 species